rnacentral:rRNA from 1 species
AGCAGCCGCGGUAAUUCCAGCUCCAAUAGCGUAUAUUAAAGUUGUUGCAGUUAAAAAGCUCGUAGUUGAAUUUCGGGACCAAUAUGUCGGUCGUGCCUCGGUACGUACUGGCAUCGUUGGUUUCUCCCUUCUGACGAACCAUGAUGUCAUUUAUUUGGUGUCGUGGGGAAUCAGGACUGUUACUUUGAAAAAUUAGAGUGUUUAAAGCAGGCUCACGCUUGAAUACAUUAGCAUGGAAUAAUGAAAUAGGACGUUUGAUUCUAUUUUGUUGGUUUCUAGGAUCGACGUAAUGAUUAAUAGGGAUAGUUGGGGGCAUUAGUAUUCAAUUGUCAGAGGUGAAAUUCUUGGAUUUAUUGAAGACUAACUACUGCGAAAGCAUUUGCCAAGGAUGUUUUCAUUAAUCAAGAACGAAAGUUAGGGGAUCGAAGACGAUCAGAUACCGUCGUAGUCUUAACCAUAAACUAUGCCGACUAGGGAUCGGAUGAUGUUAAUUUUUAAUGUACUUCA